AGAGUGAACGCUGGCGGCAGGCCUAACACAUGCAAGUCGAGCGGCAGCACAGCAGUAGCAAUACUGUGGGUGGCGAGCGGCGGACGGGUGAGGAAUACAUCGGAAUCUACCCAGUCGUGGGGGAUAACGUAGGGAAACUUACGCUAAUACCGCAUACGACCUGAGGGUGAAAGCAGGGGAUCGCAAGACCUUGCGCGAUUGGAUGAGCCGAUGUCCGAUUAGCUAGUUGGUGAGGUAAAGGCUCACCAAGGCGACGAUCGGUAGCUGGUCUGAGAGGAUGAUCAGCCACACUGGAACUGAGACACGGUCCAGACUCCGUACGGGAGCAGCAGGUGGGAAUAGUGGAACAAGUGGACGCAAGCCGUGAUCCGAGCCAUCGCCGCGUGUAGUAGAAGAGGUCCGUUGGUUAGUAAGACUACGUUUGUACCGGUAAGAAAG
rnacentral:rRNA from 1 species